UACAGAGGGUGCGAGCGUUGUCCGGAAUCACUGGGCGUAAAGGGCGCGUAGGUGGCGCUCCAAGUCUGUGGUGAAAGCUCGGCGCUCAACGUCGAGUCGGCCAUAGAGACUGGAGGGCUCGAGCACUGUAGGGGCAGAUGGAAUUCCGGGUGUAGCGGUGGAAUGCGUAGAGAUCCGGAAGAACACCGGUGGCGAAGGCGGUCUGCUGGGCAGUUGCUGACACUGAGGCGCGACAGCGUGGGGAGCAAACAGG
rnacentral:rRNA from 1 species